UUUUCCUUAGCUUAGUUUAAAGCGUUAAUUUGAAGAGUUAAAGUCAGUGUUAUAACUAGGAAGAA
rnacentral:tRNA from 1 species